CAGCACAAUAUGUCAUAGCUAGGACAGCUCAUGAGAGCUGCCAGAAUUCCCUCCAAAGGAAGAAGCCUACAAUGACCUUAUAUGGGAAGAUGGGAGAAAUCCAGAGAAAGUGAGAUUUUUAUUUAAACUGGAGAAGAACAAUGGUUCUGACACAGAAGAGAGAUGUUUCCAUUGGACAGCUGGUCUCCAGCUAUCCCAUCAGAUUCACAGGCCAGGCCCAAAGACUUGUUUGGAAUUAAUGGAAUCACAGAGUAAGCUGAGUUGGAGGGACCCUCAAGGAUCACCAGGUCCAGCUCCCAGCCCUGCACAGCAUCGUCCCCAGGAGUGACACUGCCUGCUCGAGAGUAUCCUGGCCAGCACAGCUGCAGUUCAGAUAACACUAGAAGCAAACUAUUUUGUAGCAUUUCUUGUGUAUUGUUCUAGGACCACAAUGUUGUUUGAGCCCUGUCUGCAAUGCUAAUUUCUACAGGCUGUAGAAAUCUACCAACACUGCCAAUGCUCCAGUGGAGAGAGUAAAGCCUCUCACACGUGUAGAUGGAGUUUACUACUGGGGAAGGCAUAAAUCAAUACCAAAAAAUGAUAGACUAAAGGGAAUUAUUGUGCAAUCGCCCUUCUUCAGCACUGGAGAUAUCAUUAUUGGUGGUUUUGAAAGCUCAGGUUUAUGGUACUGGCUAUAAAUGCUAUGAUCUCCAUUAAAUAUUUCAGAAGGCAUUCAACAUCAGUGAUAAAUUCAACUAGUAACUGGGGUAGUACAGCAGCAGAGUAAGAACAGGAUUUUGGCCACAAAAUCCUUCCUGGAUUAAUGCUUUCUCAAAACUGCCAGUGAACUCAGUCCUCUAAUCCUCACCCGGUGUUCCUUCACAAACCUCUGUGAACAGGAUCAAUUCAGGGUGGAUCCUCAGGUUAGCACACACCCCAUUCUUAACCAGAUGAGUUGGAAUAGACAGGAAUGAGACCAGAGGUCAGACUCUGAUCCCCAGACUUCACCCAGGCCCUGUGCAUCCAAGGGGAUACAACAGACACAACUCAACAAAAACAUGACUUCAGUAUCCAGUGCUUCUCUGUUCUGACAGGGGGAAGACCUCUUGUAAGUGCUAAGA
rnacentral:lncRNA from 1 species